rnacentral:rRNA from 1 species
UACGUAGGGCGCAAGCGUUAUCCGGAAUUAUUGGGCGUAAAGAGCUCGUAGGCGGUUUGUCGCGUCGAAUGUGAAAACCCGGGGCUCAACCCCGGGCCUGCAUUCGAUACGGGCAGACUAGAGUUCGGUAGGGGAGUCUGGAAUUCCUGGUGUAGCGGUGAAAUGCGCAGAUAUCAGGAGGAACACCGGUGGCGAAGGCGGGACUCUGGGCCGAUACUGACGCUGAGGAGCGAAAGCGUGGGGAGCGAACAGG